rnacentral:rRNA from 1 species
CCUACGGGAGGCAGCAGUGAGGAAUAUUGGACAAUGGACGAGAGUCUGAACCAGCCAAGUAGCGUGAAGGAUGACUGCCCUAUGGGUUGUAAACUUCUUUUAUAAAGGAAUAAAACGAGGCACGUGUGCCUUUUUGCAUGUACUUUAUGAAUAAGGAUCGGCUAACUCCGUGCCUGCAGCCGCGGUAAUACGGAGGAUCCGAGCGUUAUCCGGAUUUAUUGGGUUUAAAGGGAGCGUAGAUGGGUUAGUAAGUCAGUUGUGAAAGUUUGCGGCUCAACCGUAAAAUUGCAAUUGAUACUGGCAGGCGUGAGUACAGUUGAGGUAGGCGGAAUUCGUGGUGUAGCGGUGAAAUGCUUAGAUAUCACGAAGAACACCGAUGGCGAAGGCAGCUUACUAAACAGUGACUGACAUUGAUGCUCGAAAGUGUGGGGAGCAAACAGGAUUAGAUACCCCAGUAGUC